GCCUGGACUGAGCAUUUCCGUUUGUUUUGGUGGUUUUUAUCUACUUUAGUUUUCAUUUUAUUAAAUGUACAGAUGUGUUUGCAGCUGCAAAGUUCUUCUGGGAUGUGUACAGAAUUUGUUUGGAUAGAAAUGAGGGAAGCAGGAGUUAGUAGAAGAGUUACACAUACACCUUACUUCCUUGACUGGCUUUCACAUAACUAAAAGGUGUAUAAGAGAUAUUGUUAUACAAAUGGGAUUUCUAACUAUUCUUUCAAUCUUCCCAACGUGUCAGGAGUUCCAGGAAUCUUCUGACAUACACUGUCCUAACAUUCACCUGCCCUGGACUCCGGUGGAUGAGUUACAGGCGUUCAGGGAUUAUUGAAGAACAUGUGGAGAUUUUUAGAGUGCCUUGAAUCGUGCAUCACGAGCUUUGUAAGUGGCUUUCACAAAUCAGCAAUUUGACAGUGCAGCAUAAAUAUAACUGCUUAUGAUGAUCACAGAAACAAUAAUAGAUAAUUAGAUUAUAGUGAUGGGAUACAAGCAUAUUUUUUUAUUUUUUAGCAUGUAAAUGGCCUGUUUUAUCUCUUAAUUUCUUUGCUUGCUUUUCUUUCCACAAGACUUUAAAACCAGAUAUUCAUUCUGAUGGAGCAAGUUAUCAAAACUCAUUACAGUGAUUACGUAGCGAGUUGUUCCCUUGACCCACGUGGAUGAGUUACAGUAGGGUUAGGGUAUAACUGUCGUUCCUGACUCCUGUCACAGCAGGGAAUUAAAAUUAAGUUUGAUGAGUAAGUUGAAAGGGAGAGCCUGUGACAAAGCAGACAUCUCCCUGCAGCUCCUGGCUGCAGCCAAACGUGUUGAGGAGAUGAAGAACAGUCAUAAGAACUGAACUGGGAACACGAGCCCUUUCCCCAGUAAAUUGUUCUGUGUUGGCUCACGUGCUGUUAGUGCUAUCACUUCAGCUACAUGUUGAUGCACGAAACAAUUAUUUUGCAGAUGAGCCUGAAUUUUCUCUUAAAGUGGUAGGUGAUACAUGUAGGGAGCAAAAAACAUCAGCUGGCCAAACUUCCCUCAGCUUUGCAAUCGGAGGCUUUAAAGCGAGGGUGGCCACGGAGGGGCAUUGAUGUGGGAGUAUUUCCUCAGCAGAAAGCAAACACUUCUCCGUUCACCCCUAAGGGGACAAGGGAAAUUGUUAGAGAAAAAAAAAAGAAAUAAUGAAAAAUUGAAAAAUAAGGCCAGGCAGCGCGCAGGGAGUGGGCUUAAUUGGUUGCAUUGGGAAAUCAUCAAGAAAAGUCCCUUCUUGUGAUUUGACUCACUCCAGACUGUCUUUCUCAAGUUGUCACUCGCCUGCGUGUGGUGGAUUAAAUGGCAUCUGUUUCCUUUUGCUGUAGCAGUUCGCCUGAACAUAGCGAGUGUAGCGUUUGGUUGAUCACAUUUUCAUUUUAUUUUUUUUUCCUAGUGCAGGGUCUCCGGGGGAUCAUCUAAUAAAAACUGGAAAGUGCUACCAUUAAAAAUAAAAGCAGAGCCCUUGAAAUCAAAUGAAGCUUACGUGUAAUUAUAAAACCCACACAGAGAUGGAAACCCAACGCCAAUUAGCAAUGGUAUCGUUUGCCCCUCUCUGGGAUUUUAGCUUUACAGUCUCCACUCUUUGUUAACACCAGGCGUGAAUGUAGAUUUGAUUGUCAGUGAUGCCAUUUUGCCUUAAGAAAUAGGGCACUGCCUGCUUCCACCUGCCUGUGGCAGAGACAGUUUUCCAGAUCCUGGGGUGGUGGGUUGACCCCAGCCAGCAGUUAAGCACCCCCACAGCUGCUCAGCCACCACCCCAAUCCCCUGACCAGUGGGGUGGGGGAGAGAACAGGAAGAAAAAAAGCAAGAAAAUGCCUGGGUCAAAGUAAAGACAGUUUGCAAGUGAAAGGAAGAGGGUGCAGAGGUGCACAUGCCAUCGUGGCCAAUGAAGCCCUUCGUCCUUGUUAGAUGGAUUUGGUGCUGGGGGUCUGAUGAGUGAUGAAGAUACUAACAUUUCUGAGUAUCUGAAGCAAGGUAAAAUAAGGAUAAUCUGGAAAUGGAUGAUAUAAAGAAAAAAAAAAAAAAAGAUUAAAAAAGUCAGGUAAAGCUUUACCUAAACUUAAGUGAAAAGUUUUAUUGAUCCCUCCCACCCCCAUCAAAUGUUUAACAAUUUCAUGGACAUAGCUUACAAACGGGCCUUAAUUAAAUGCCGUGAUUAUUAAUGGGAGACUUUCUGAUCUUUUUUCAAGGAUAAACUCCAAAGAGAUGAGGUAACAUAUGAGCACUGAGAAAUACACUUUGCUUAAAAAUUGAAGUUGAAUGGGAGACAAAAGGAAAAAGGAAGGUGAGAGAGAAGGAAAAAGGGCUUUUCUGAUAAAAUCUUACUAAACUUUCUGAAAGUGUGACAAAGUAACUAAUGAUGGAACAGUGUCUGUGGGGAACAGAGCAGAUUGACUGAGAGCUCUAGUACUAAUUUUCAUCCAAAGGUGGCACUAGUCUUUUGCAGUUGGAGUUUUUGUUGAGAGAUGGGAAAGGCAGAUACCAAGAAGCCCUCAACUAAUCCAACGCUUACCAUUAAUCCCAAACAAACCAUCAUUAGUGUCUGGUUUUAUCCUGCUUAGUCCUUGCUGGAUAGUGAAUUACGUAACCUUUGUUUUAUUAACGUUUAAUGGAAGCUUAUCAUCAGGUGGGUUACCUCCAAAAAAUGGGAGGGGGAAAAGAUUGUACAUUUGCUGCUUUCUGAUCGUUAUUGUUUGUUUGAGGGAUUUUUAAGAACUUCCUUAAGAAGGGAGUGGCUACUUCAUGAUAGUCCCAUAAAUAAACUAACUUGAAACUCACUGAGCACAUUGCUUGGCAAAAAGCAGCUGUUUGAAAAAUUACAUAGACCUUUUCUACUUAACUAUCAGAUAAUGUUGAUAAACAUAGCUUAGAAAAGAACUACAAAAACUUAUCUUUAUGGUACAAAAGAAUUUGAUCUGAUACUCAGGUGCAAAAAUAGAUACUUUAAAUUCUUUUCAAUAAAUGCCUGUUCUUGGGUCCUCAUACAUUAUUGGAGACUGAUUUUAGUAUGUGUGGUAUGAAUAAGAUAACAAAAUUUCCACAGGUGCAAAGUACGGCUCAUCAUGCUAAAGAUCUUGGCCUUGUUUAGGAGGAAAAGCUGGUGCUGGAGUUGUAAAAGGAAGCCACUGGGCAAGCGUUGCAGGAGGGAAAGGAUUUUGAGGUAAAAAAUGCGAAGGAAAAAAAUGUCUAGUGCCAUAUGUUAGAAUUUUGAUGUAUGCAUGAUGCAGUAUUGCAGAGGCUGGUAAGGAAAUGGCUUCAGAGCAGUUAUCUGAGUUGCAUCAGAAUAAAUGCAAAAGGAGAAAAAAAAAGUUUUUUAACCCAGGAUGGCAAUGUGUAUGCUGAGCAGCAGACCUGCAGCAGAUACUUUAUGUGAUUUGAGCACAUAUAAUGUGUGACAAGAGAAUAUGGUUAAUUCCAUUCGCCAGAUGUUUACUUUCAAUCUCUCUUUCAUUUUUCCCAAAUGAUAAGGGUUCAUUAUCAAAUUGUCAACAUUUUCUCAGUGUUGAUAAAACUCCAGAGAUGAGAGAAGUCCCAGCAGUCGAUGUACAUAGUUAUUUCAUGCCCACGCUGAAGGAGAUGCACUAACAGAGACUCUGCUCUGCCAAGUGCUGGUAGAGAGUGGUCUCACAGAAACCCUAAACUGGACGGGCCUGACUGGGUGUGAAACUGGUGGAAGCUCCUCAAAGAUCUCACGCAACGUGCACUUUUAGGUGUUUAGUCUUUUGUGUCCUUCUGAGCUUAUGCAGCUCCUGCCAAAAGCUGAAUAUUUUAAUCAUUGGAACAAAAUCCAAAAAGCCCUUUUGCUGUGUCUGUGAGGGGUUGCAUCAAAGUUGUGCCUGCUGCAGAUUGACACAUCUGAGAUUAUCACCUGACAUACUGUGAUAAAGCUUAAAUGCCUUUCCAAAAGUGACAGACUAAUCAAAAGCAAAUUUGUUUUUAAAGCUCUUCUUGGGAGAUUUCAUUCUUGUUUGUUGUUUUGUUUAGUUUUUUUUAUUUGGUUUUAUUUCUAAAAACAAAAAAUAGCUAGUCAUUCCACUUACAUAGUAAGUGGGUGACAUCUUGAGUGCUGGUGAAAGAGUGCUGCAACUGUAGAUAGUAUUUCCUAAUUCUGAGUCAGACUUAUGGCCUCUGUCCUCUAGGAAACAUAACACUUUGGGAACAGUAUAAAGUUAGAGGAACUUCCCUAUAAUUUUGAAGCAAAGAUUGACAUAAACAGAAGUAGAAAUGUUCUGAGGAAUAUGUUUGCAACUACCUUUCUGUUUUACUGCUGCAAAGAAGUUUUGUGAUACUUGAAUGAUCUAAAACUGGUAGAAAGAGAGCAGUUCUUUUAUUAGAUUAAAAGAAAGCUUUUGAAAAUACAACCUUUUUUUUUCAUAAAUACAUCAUUUUUUUCUAAUAAAUUGCUUUUACCAAUAAGUUUUACCUCUGAUGUCAUUAGACCAUCAUAUGAAAAAAACUUUGAAUCAUAUAGAAAGCUAAGGUGUUUUGAUGGUAUCUUCAGAAAGUAUGAGUUCAAUCUGUUUAUUGCAAAAAAGUAUACUAGUAAAGUCAAAUCACUGAAUUAUUGGGAAAAAUGCCAGCAAUUUCAUGAACUAAGUAACACAGCAUUAUGUGAACUUUCCUGUGCCUGCUUUUACCUGUGAGCAUUGAGUGCUCAUUUAGUUUAUUUUGACAAGUCAGAACAAAAAAAAUAAAAUUAGGUAUUUUCCAGAUACUUACAAUGAUUUCAGCAAAUAAGUUGCAGGACAUGUAGAAAAUUGUGGAUUCAGCAGCACACUGCAUGAUUUAAAAAACCCUGAUGUUACUGCUGAUUCUCAGAUCAGAUGAAUUAAGGAAUUGUUUCCUCAAUUAAUUUUGAUUUGACCACAAUAUGCAGUAAAACUCAUAAUGGCCAUUUCUUAUCCUUUGAAUCACAAGAUACCUUUGCAUUAGGUCAUCUGUGAAUAGUGAACGGUUUCCUGGCUGUUUAAAAUAUUAUUUUUAUAAUGCAUGUAUUCUUCUACCAUUUCACACUCUGUAUGCUUGGAAAUUCCAGCACUGUUUUGCUGUUAAAUAGUAUUGGGAGAAAAGCAGAAAUGCCAGUUUGUUCUUAGAAGGAAGUAAUGUCAGGGGCAGAGGUUUGAGUAUCGAGAUCCUGCGAGGCACGCUUGGCUCUGCUAUUGCCUUGUUUAGAUUUCAGCCAUAUCCCUUUUUCCUCUUUGUCAAUUGGAAAAUAGGAAUGUAAGUGUGAUUAAAAAUACGUCUGGCUUAAAGGGAAGGUUAAGUGAUAAUUUAUUCAGCUGACAAACAUCCACAUUGUGACACUUCUACUAAUAGAGUGUGCUUUGCUUGGCAGCCGAAGGGAUGAUAAUAGCCCAUCAUCUCUUGGAAAUGAAAUUACACUAGAGGUAAGAUGCAAAACGUUCACAGCGAAGGUAAUUAACAAUUGAGUGUAAUAGCAGUUGACAGGGUGGUUUCCCCACUGGGUAGGAUUUCAAAUUGAAGCUGAAUAUCUUGUGAAGGCUUGCUUCGACUCAAAGUUCUGAGCCUUAUAAAGAGUGGAUUCAGAACUGGAACCACCAUGUGAAACUCUCUGUGCUGAGUGCUUGUAGGUGAGAUGGUGGUAACGUGGGCGUCUGGUCGUCCUUAGGGAGCUGGGAAUGUCAGUUAUUGUGCCUGAUGCUUGUAACUUCUUCCAGGAGCCUUGGCUGGGAGAUACAAAUAAUCAUUCAUUGUGAUUAUUUCUUCUACUUUAUAUCAAACUGGAGAAACUAAACCAGCUUGAACUGAUCCUGUCUUUAAAAUUAUCUGAAAACUUAGCAUAGGAUAAAGUUUCUAUUUUUGACAUACUUUUAGUUUUUCUGAUAUAUAUGGAUAAAAAGGGUGAAUUAUAAAGAACAUAGAGUUAAACCGUUGCAUCAGAACAAGGACUUACAUUCUGAUCAGUUAAUUUGGAAAGAUACGAAACCUUAAAGGAACCGGUUGAUUCUCGGGGGUAAUGCUGAGAAAUCACCAAGGGUGGUGGCAGAGGGAAGUUCUGUGAUACAGCAGCUGCAUUCAGAAGACUUGCAUUCAGCUGGGGUGUGAGGUUAUUUCCAGCGGGUGGGGUCGGUGCCAGCAGCACAUGGAAAUGGCAGGAUGCUCGGGGCGGCUGGCAGGAGGCAGCGCUCUCCGGGUAUGGGUGAAAACAGCAGCAUCUUCUGCCAAAUCCUACAGAGGUCUGUGUGUGCCAAUGUUCUGACGUCCCAAAAAAUGUGGGGAUUCCUUUGGUAUUAAACAAUUCAAGUUGCCAGCAGAAGUGGUGCUAAAAUACAGGGUUUAUUUCUGUUCUGCCUCCCUUCCACACUAUAGGAAUUGCAGUAAAAGGAAGAGAGAUGUCCUGUGGCUUUCAGAAUACUCCCCCAGGGGUUUUGACCCCCUGGUGAAAUGCAGGAGAUACUUUAUCACUGGUGUGGACUUCCAAACAGAGGUUCAGCAAAAGAAACCCCUCUCUUGUAAAUUGCAUAGAUACUCACAAAGCUUUCUAUAGAUGUUGCUGUUUUCAUGUCAUCUCUGUUAUGUUUUUGGUAAUUGUGCCAUGCUCUUUUACUUUCUUUCCUAAACAUCAGAAAUUCUCUGCCACAGAUUUGACAGCAUGUUGGAAUAAUUCUGCGAGUGGAGAGGAUCCCGAGGUAAAACAUGCAGGCAGAGCAGAGAGCAAGGGCUUCUUCACCAGUUAUAGGCAUAGACUGCGCUGGGCACUGGGGAAAGAUGGUGAAUGCAAACAACCCCUAAAACAAGUGGCCCCCAUGCAGCUGGUGUCCUGCAAACGCAGUGGCUGGUGCGUGCCCCGUGUCCGUAGCCCCCGGCAGCGCUGCCCCGAGGGACUGCACCUGGGAGAGACAGUCAGUGCAGAGUGGUACAACGCCCCGUCUUGUUACCGUUUCAGGAAACCUCAUUAGUUUCAGGAAAAAGUAAAGAAGUUUUUUGUUUUGUUUCUAUAACGACUCUUGCCGUGCCAUCUGCUGCUUUUUAUUCUUGAGCCUGGCGGGUGCCAUGGAGCUGAUCUAUAACUCAAGCACUUGCUUUGGCAGUAGGAGAGACUUUCUCAGUGAGGACCUGCAGCCACACGCCGGUGGUCCUGAGGUCUGUGCCCUGGAGCAGCACCAGCCAGGACUCCCCUGCUUCUUGGGAAAGCCUCAGCACCCUGCUGAUGUCAAUAGGCUUGAGUCCCUUGGCCUCAAGAGAGAGAAGUCCUCCCCUUCUACCCUGGUGAGGUGACAUCUACAGUGCUGUGUCCAGAUCUGGGCCCCUCAGUUUAAGAAGGACAGGAAACUACUGGAUAGAGUCUGGUGGAGGGCUAUGAAGAUGAUCAGGGGAAUGGAGCACCUCUCUCACGAGGAAAGACUGAGAGACCCUGGUCUGUUUAGCCUGGAGAAGAACGCACUGCUGCUUGGAGAACACCUCUGGAUAAUCAGUGAUGGGUGGUGUGUCACGGCUCACCAGUCACAGGAUGGUCUCCUGAUUCUCACAUGAUCAAGAAAAGGAAAUUUAUUUUAGUGCCCUAAAGCCCCUGCUGCUCCCUGCUUGCUGUGUACCUUUACUUCAGUUGUGUUCUGAGCUGCUGCAUGAACCUUUUCAGGCCACAUCAUAGCUGAGCCUCAACAUCCUUUAACUGGAGCCUCAUCACCCUAAAGACAUUUUGGUCUUUGCUGGCUGUUUCCAGUUGCCAUUCUGCUGCUGUCAACUGGGAACUGCUGAGUUUCAUUCCACUGUUGCUACUGGGUGGAUUUAAUGAUGCUUUGCAAUCUGGUAGAGCACCUUCCCCAUACUCAGCUAGGUGAUGCUUCUGGUGGUGCUACGUAUGAGAAUGAAAUGGAAGCACGUUCAAAGAUACAGUUAUCUCCUGAGUGACUGAAAAGAAUAGGCUGUUCUUCACUCCUCUUCUUGAUAGAGAAAGCCACAAUUGAACAAAAAUGCAGACUUUGGAAAAUCAAGAUGAUAAAAUCUUUGUUGAAAAAAUGAUCACUAGUAUGUUCUGGGCUAAGGUUUGUCUUGGACCCUUUGUAACGAACUCCGUGGGGAAGGCAACACCAAAUGCUAUCGUUCUGAUGCUUUAUCCCUCCUCAGUAUCUUUCUGGGGGCAGUCUCCAAUACCAUGGAUGUAACUCAUGCUGCUUGCAACAGGAACAGCCUUUAACCCUGCGUGUCUUUUGCCCUGCUCCUGAGGGAGAGAGCUUGCCUUGUAGGAUUGAUCUGGUUUAAAUUUCUCAAGACCCAGGUCACGAGCAAAUGUUUUUCCUCUUCACUUGGGCCACUGAGAAAGUAUUCACUUUUUCUUUUCCGGUUUGGUGUCAGAUGGAAGAUGCUUUACUGAAGACAGAGUGAGGAGGGGCAUGCCCCUGGGGACCUGACCUCAGCCAGGAUGUGACACCGCCGGUGCCGCCGAGGAGAGGCUGACCAGCUGAGAGAUCAUGAGAGCUGUGUGAUGUCUCAUACGCCGCCCGCUUGUCCCUCCGCAUGAAACAUAGGUAAAAAGGUCAUGUUGUGUUCCAUUGUGCUACUCUUCAAAAAUCACAGUGUAGUUUUCCAAACUAAGCCGUGCCACAUGUGAUUUGCCACCUGAACAAUAUUUAGCCCCGUUGGCACUUUUUAACUUUCUGCAGAUUUUAAACUGCCGCAGAUUUUUAAAUCCUUCCUAUUUCAUAGAGCUUUCCCUGCUUGAAUCCUUGAAAAAAGUUUCCUGUACUUACACUUUUGCGAGAUGACGCUGUGCCAAAAUGCCUUCACAGAUCCUGAAAAUGGUAAUUACAGAAACGGCAGUUACAUGUGCACACCAGGAACCUGGGGAGCUGCGAUGUUUUUAGCUGCAAAUAGACACAAGGCCUAGGAAAGUUCCAUAUUCGUGUGGCGACUGUUGGUAACAGAGAGCCAUGGAAGAAAUUUGGACCAAAGCAAGUACUUUUCUUUCUUUUCCAAUUACUAUUGCUAUUUUCAGUAUUACUUUUGGUCACGUACGGCUCCUCAGAAGCAAGCCCCCAUUUAAGUGUCUUAUUGGUCUUUACUCUGGAAGUUUGUGACAAUCUUGGCUGUGGAAAGAGAAGAGAGAGAGGGGCUAUAAUGGGGAGAACAGGACCAGGAGCUUGCUGGGUAAGCGAACGCCAACCUAGACAUGGUGAGAAUUUCUUUUUCCUCUGUGGAAAAUGCUAAUCAAAAAUAAAAUUCAUAAAAAUUAAUGGGAUUUUUUCAUUCUCAGCAACUGAACUCUGGGAAACUGUCAGUUUUUCACUUUAGCCAAGUUUAUCUAGAUUUUGGCUUUCCAAAGAAAAAUAUUUUUUUUCAAAAGAGCAGAGGUUUACCUGGAAAAGUAUUUGGCUGAAACAUACUCUGGUUUGUCUUUGGAUAAAAUAAAUCUUUCAUAUAAAUUGUA